rnacentral:sRNA from 1 species
AUCCAGUCUGCAGCGUACCGGGUUUCAGGGUUUGUCGCUGUCGAUCGGUGGCAAUGAUUGCUGGAAUUGGAAACACAGAGCCGGACUAAGCCAUGGGGAACAACGGGUAGGGCCAGAGCGAGCGUCUUGCUUUUUGGUCGUCUUCGGAAUUUUUUGGGAAUAUCCCGAGAUGUCUCUAUCGAGUUCUCCGCCGAUUCCGCAUGACAGUUUUCCACUUCGAAGUAUGCUCAAAACGGAAACCCCAGGAGGCAAUUGCGAGAUUCAGCUUCACUCUUAGUGUUAGGGAGGAAAGUACAGUACAAUACCAUCUAGUUAUCUAGAAGCACUUGUGGACCUUGAACGCUCUAGGUUGUCAACUUUAUUGAGCUACUCUGUGCUG